CUGAUGAGGUCGUUGGUCACCAACCAGGAUCUUCAGGGUCUGAGAUGAUAAAUUCAGCUACUGUGCUGCUGGAGCCGACUCAACCGGAUUCCCCUGUAAAACAGGAACCUUAUUAGUUUGCUGCACUAGGAUUUAACCAGACAUUAAAGCAAUGCAGAGAAAAGUAAAAACAUCUGAAACAGGAAUAAAGAAACCUCAAGGAUGACAAGAUGAGUGGUUCCAUCUAUCUUGAAGAAAGCGUUUUUUUGUCGUCAUCGAUAGAGUCCUCACUCGCAUAUCAAAAACUCAGGCUUAUUCCUUUCCAGGAGCAGAAGACUGUUCCCGGUUUAAAGCUGUCCUCGCUGUGUCUCCUUGCUCCACCAUUACGCCUGAUGUCAGCAUUCAGGUGGCAAGUGGCUCGGCAGCAUAUUGUAAAGCAUUAUGGGAAACUGGAGGAGUUUGUGACUUUGGCGACAGAGAUGGUUCCAGAGCUGCUGAGUUCCAGGCAGAGGACCCAACUCCUCCUGGGUCUGAGAGCAAGGUGGAAAUGCAAAGGAU